rnacentral:rRNA from 1 species
UGAGUAACCUGCCCUUAACUCUGGGAUAAGCCUGGGAAACUGGGUCCAAUACCGGAUAUGACUCCUCAUCGCAUGGGUGGGGGGUGGAAAGCUUUAUUGUGGUUUUGGAUGGACUCGCGGCCUAUCAGCUUGUUGGUGAGGUAAUGGCUCACCAAGGCGACGACGGGUAGCCGGCUGAGAGGGCGACCGGCCACACUGGGACUGAGACACGGCCCAGACUCCGUACGGGAGGCAG